rnacentral:rRNA from 1 species
AUGAAUGGAUACUCUGAGAUAGAACGAGAAAAAGCAAAUUUGAUUAAUGCUACUUCUAUUAGUUUGGCAAUGAAUCAGGUCCGACAGCGGGUUUUCCAACAGGCCGUACAAGGAGCUCUAGGAACUCUGAAUAGUUGUUUGAAUACCGAGUUACAUUUCCGUACGAUUCGUGCUAAUAUUGGCAUUCUCGGGUCCCUGGAAUGGAAGAGAUAA